AUAAAAUCCUUCGAAAGCAACUUUUUCCCUUGUUCAAGUUUCAUAACUUUAUAUUUAUCAUAACCAAUCAUUAAUCUUUUCUUCAAUAGAAUCUCGCUCACCAUCUUUAGGCAUAUUAACUGGAAUCCAUUCACAUUGCAAUGAAGGCUAUCCCAUUAUUCUUUUAACCGCCUAUCAAAUCCUAUUUGAAUGCAUGACUUUGUUGCCCAUGCAAGUUCGAUGACUUUGAGAUCAAUACAUAAUAUCCAAUCAAUGGGAAAAUGGAAAAAAUGUGAAAAGUGGGAAAUCCAGAAAUUCUUUACAUUUUACACCUUUCACAGUAGAAGAAUCAUGUUGGGCAGCAGCAAAACAAGUUUUUCUCUUAAAGAAUUUGCAAAGGAGGAUAGAAUUGUAAUCCUGAUUGGAAGAUUGCAUUAAAGUUGCAGCAAAUCUGCGAAGGCUAAGAACACUUGAUUUUCUUAAAAGGUGAAUGUCCAUUGUCUUAUUUGAUUUUCAUAGAAAAUUUUAGAAAUCUAAAUUCUAAGAUUAGUUUGUAACACAAAGCAGGAAGAGUGAUAGACCCAAUGGUAAUAUUAUAAAACUCUGAAUCGUUUUCUGAUGCGAUUAGCUAUGUUCGUCGUUCUGCCUGUCCAUAUCAAUUUGUGUUUUAUUAUUCGAAUUUGGCACAUGCAUUUUUUGGCCUUGAGACAAAUAUAACACUCCCAUAUAUAUGUAA
rnacentral:sRNA from 1 species